rnacentral:rRNA from 1 species
GAUGAACGCUGGCGGCGUGCCUAAUACAUGCAAGUCGAGCGAACAGACGAGGAGCUUGCUCCUCUGACGUUAGCGGCGGACGGGUGAGUAACACGUGGAUAACCUACCUAUAAGACUGGGAUAACUUCGGGAAACCGGAGCUAAUACCGGAUAAUAUAUUGAACCGCAUGGUUCAAUAGUGAAAGACGGUUUUGCUGUCACUUAUAGAUGGAUCUGCGCCGCAUUAGCUAGUUGGUAAGGUAACGGCUUACCAAGGCAACGAUGGUUAGCCGACCUGAGAGGGUGAUCGGCCACACUGGAACUGAGACACGGUCCAGACUCCUACGGGAGGCAGCAGUAGGGAAUCUUCCGCAAUGGGCGAAAGCUUGACGGAGCAACGCCGCGUGAGUGAUGAAGGUCUUCGGAUCGUAAAACUCUGUUAUUAGGGAAGAACAAAUGUGUAAGUAACUAUGCACGUCUUGACGGUACCUAAUCAGAAAGCCACGGCUAACUACGUG